rnacentral:lncRNA from 1 species
UGUAAUCCCAGCUACUAGGGAGGCUGAGGUGGGAGAAUAAACCCGGGAGGCGGAGCUUGCAGUGAGCCGAGAUCGUGCCAGUGCACUCCAGCCUGGGCAACACAGUGAGGCUCCAUCUCAAAAAAAAAAAAAAAAAAAACGAAAACACAAAGCAAUUAUCUGUUCAUUGUGAUACGAUGUCAGCUGUUGGACCUGGCGUGCUUCCAGAAUGAGCUUGGAGAUAUGCUGGAGGAUUACAAAACAAAACCCCUUACAGAUCAGGACUCAGAGCAACAGAUUUUUGUUACACGAUCAAACGAUAAGAAUACCAUUACUAUACCAUAAUAUAUUCUCAUUUCUCUUGCACUUUCUUGCAUAUUAUUGAAUUUAUUUAUUUAAAAACAUAUAUAUAUAUAUACAGAGAGAGAGAGACAGAUGGAGUCUCACUCUGUUGCCCAGGCUGGAGUGUAGUGGCGAGAUCUUGGCUCACUGCAACCUCCACCUCCUGGGUUCAAGCAAUUCUUCUGUCUCAGCCUCCCGAGUAGCUGGGACUACAGGCGUGUGCCACCACACCCAGCUAAUUUUUGUAUUUUUAGUAGAGACAGGGUUUUACCACACUGGCCAGGCUGGUCUCAAACUCCUGACCUUGUGAUCCGCUCGUCUUGGCCUCCCAAGGUGCUGGAAUUACAAGCAUGAGCCACCGCGCCUGGCUAUUUAUUUUUAAUUUCUUUAAAUUUAAUUGAAUCCUCUAACAUCCUUCCAAGAUUGUUACGUAAAACACCCACUGUAUAGGAGAGAAAACUAGGCCAGAUGUGGGGGCUCAUGCCUGUAAUUGCAGCACUUUGGGAGGCUGAGGCAGGAGGAUCACUUGAGCCCAUGAGUUCAAGACCAACUUGGGCAAUAAAGUGAGACCCUAUCUCUACAGAAAAAAGUUAGCCGGGUGUGGUGGCACAUACAUGUAGUCCUAGCUACUCAGGAGGCUGAGAUGGGAGGAUCACUUGAGCCCAAGAGUUCAAGGUGCAGUGAGCUGUGAUUGCACCACUGCACUCCAGCCCAGGUGACAGAGCAAGACCCUGUCUCAAAAAACAAACAGAUUAAAAAAGCAACAGAAAAAAAAAAAGAAGAGAAAACAAGCUUCAAAGAUGUGACACAAUUGCCAAAAGCCACCAGACAGUCAAGUAAAGAACGAAGGAAACAACUAAAUAGGACUUGACCCCAGGUCUCCUGAGGCCACACCCAGGGAGCUUGCUACUUGAACCAGUGAUGAUUUAAAAAAAUAACUCGGCCGGGCUCAGUGGCUCACGCCUGUAAUCCCAGCACUUUGGGAGGCCAAGGCAGGCAGAUCACAUUCAAGACCAUCGUGGCCAAGAUGGUGAAACCCCGUCUCUACUAAAAAUGCAAAAAAAUAGCCGGGCGUGGUAGCACGCACCUGUAGUCCCAGCUACUCAGGAGGCUGAGGCAGGAGAAUCGCUUGAACCCGGAAGGCGGAGAUUGCAGUGAGCCGAGAUCGCACCACUGCACUCCAGCCUGGGUGACAGAGCGCGACUCUGACUCAAAAAAAAAAAAAAAAAAAAAAAAAAACAACUCACAUUCCUCUCUGAACGCUUGGAAGAGCAACUUGGAUGAAAUUAUUACACCCAAGCAAAGAUCUUGGGUGUAAUCACAGAGCUCACAUGGAGGACCAUGUGAGAGGCUUUUACAAACCUCAGAGCCCUAGGAAAGCUCUCUGGACCAUUUAUCAAGAGGAAUCAGGCUUUUGGCAUUUUUGAAGAAAAAGUAAUAAAUGACAUGCUAAGUUUAUGAGAAGAUAUUUUUUCCCUGAAUUUAUUCUCUUUCCCAUCGGAAUUAAAUUCUAAUAUUCAUACAGAAGCAACACAUUUGUUCCUAAGUCAAAUAAAGAACCCUAUCUAAAGGCAUAAAAAACCGUUGAAUUAUAGCAGAGGCAUACAAAAUAAAAAUUUUAUAGUUCCCCCAACCUCACUGGAGGACCUCUGCCAUAGCUAAGAAAAAUAGCCAACACUUUCAGAGCACUUAGCUAGGCUGGGCGCUGGUCUGUACAGGAAUUUUGACUUUUUUUUGAGACGGAGUCUCGCUCUGUCGCCCAGGCUGGAGUACAAUGGCGUGAUCUCGGCUCGCUGCAACCUCCACCUCCCAGGUCCAAGCAAUUCUCCUGCCUCAGCCUCCAAAGUAGCUGAGAUUACAGGUGCCUGCCACCAGGCCUGGCUAAUUUUUUGUAUUUUUAGUAGAGACGGGAUUUCACCAUGUUGGCCAGACUGGUCUCGAACUCCUGACCUCAGGUGAUCUGCCCACCUUGGCCUUCCAAAGUGCUGGGAUUACAGGCGUAAGCCACCACUCCCAGACACAAUCUUGUAUGGAUGGCUAUCAUCCAAAAUAAUUGCAAGCUUCCUGUGGGGGCUGGGAUUGCUUCAUAGUCCUCCAUACACCCCCUCAGGGUCCCCACAAUGCCUUGAACACCAUAAUGCUCUGGUAAAUGUUUUGGUCUGGAAAUUCGAUGUCAUUCUAAGUCCAUAGUCCUUGUCUAGUUAGACACUGGUGCUUCUAUCCUAACGAAGGUGAGUCUUCCUCUCUGCAGAUGGUACAGUCAAGAUGACCUAGCUGUAACCUGGCUACUAGAGGACCAAGGAGAAAAAUAAACUUCUACCACGCUUUCGAAAACAAGCACUCAAACUCAGGAGAUACUUGAUUGAAGUUGAAAGAGUGGUGCAUUCCCCAAGGCAGUACCCUCAUGAAUGGGAUUAGUGUCCUUUAAUAAAAGAGACCCAAGAGAGGUCCCUUGCUCCUUCCAGCAUGUGAGAUUACAGCAAAAAGAUGCUGUCUAUGAACCAGAAAGUGGGCCCUCACCAGACACUGAAUCUGUCGGCACCUUGAUCUUGGAUUUCCCAGCUUCCAGAAGUGGGAGAAAUAAAUUUCUCUUGUAAAUAAGAUAAACAGUUUAUGAUAUUUUAUUAUAGCAGCCCCAAGGGACUAAGACAGAAAUCCAGUUGUACACCAGAUGGUUGUAACACGUUCAGUGGAAUGAAAACCUUGUGUCUUGGCAGGGUGCAGUGGCUCAUGCCUGUAAUCCCAACGCUUUGGGAGGCUGAGGUGGGAGGGUCACUUGAGGCCAGGUGUUCAAGACCAGCCUGGGCAACAUAAGGAGAUGUCCAGAUAGCCGGCAAAACAGUGUUCCUGGGUAGGCCUGUGAUGGUGUUUCCAGAAGAAAUUAGUGCUGUGAGUCGGUAGAGUGAGUAAAAAAGAGUCUCUUAAAAAAAAUGUUGGCCGGGCACGGGGCUCACGCCUGUAAUCCUAGCACUUUACAAGGCUAAGGCAAGUGGAUCACUUGAGGUCAGGAGUUCGAGACCAGCCUGGCCAACAUGGUGAAACCCCAUCUCUACUAAAAAAUACAAAAAUUAGCUAGGAAUGGUGGUGUGUGCCUGUAGUCCCAGCUGCUCAGGAGGCUGAGGCAUGAGAAUCACUUGAACUCAGGAGGUGGAGGUUGCAGUGAGCCGAGAUCGUGCCACUGCACUCCAGCCUGGGUGUGGUGGUAUGCACCUGUAGUCCCAGCUACUCAGGAGGCUGAGGCAGGAAGAUCGCCUGAGCCCAGGAGAUUGAGGCUGCAGCACUCCAGCCUGGGCAACAGAGCAAGAUCUGGUUUCCAAAAAACCCAAAAAAACCUUGUGUCUUCAUGUGGAGAUUAAGUAUGGUUUAAGGAGAUGUGUAUGGAUGACAAGUUCAAAAAGGAUGGUCGUGUGAUGGUUAAUUUUAUGUGUCAGUUUGACUGAGCUAAGGGAUGUCCAGAUAGCUGGCAAAACAGUGUUCCUGGGUAGUCCUGUGAUGAUGUUUCCAGAACAAAUUAGCAUUGUGAGUUGGUAGAUUGAGUGAAAAAGAUCCUCCCAGGUGGAUCGCGAGGUCAGGAGAUCGAGACCAUCCUGGCUAACACGGUGAAACCCCAUCUCUACUAAAAAUACAAAAAAUUAGCUGGGCAUGGUGGCGGGUGCCUGUAGUCCCAGCUACUCAGGGGGCUGAGGCAGAAGAACGGCGUGAACCCGGGAGGCAGAGCUUGCAGUGAGCGGAGAUUGCACCACUGCACUCCAGCCUGGGCGAGAGAGUGAGACUCUGUCUCAGAAAAAAAAAAAAAAAUUAGAAAAAGAUCCUCCCUGUCAGUGGGUAUCAUCCACUGUUGAGUGGACAAAAGGUGGAAGAGGGGCGAAUCUGCUCUUUCUGGGCUGACAUCCAUUUUCUCUUGCCCUUGGAGGUCAGUGCUCCUAGCUCUUGCUUUUGGGCUUAGACUGGGACUUACAUCAUUGUGCCUCUGGUCCUCAGUCUUCAGAUUCAGACUGAAUUAUACCACCAGCUUUCCUGGUUUUUCAGCUUGCAGAUGGCAGAUCCUGGGACUUCUUGGCCUCCAUAACUGCAUGAGCCAAUUCCCAUAAUAAAUCUACACUUGAUCUUAGCCACAAGGCCGAGAAACGAUCAAUUCCUAUAAUAAAUCUCUCUUAUAAUAUCCUGUUGGUUCUGUUUCUCUGGAGAACCCUGACUAAUAUACCUUUUUUUUUUUUUUUUUUUUUUUUUUGAGACAGUCUUGCUCUGUUGCCCGGGCUAGAGCACAGUGGUGCCAUCACAGCUCACUGCAACCUCCAUCUCCCAGGUUCAAAUGAUUCUCCUGCCUCAGCGUCCCGAGUAGCUGGGAUUACAGGCACCUGCCACUAUGCCUGGCUAAUUUUUGUAUUUUUAGUACAAAUGGGGUUUCAUCAUGUUGGCCAGGCUGAUCUCGAACCCCUGACCUCAAGUGACCUGCCCGCCUCAGCCUCCCAAAAUGCUGCAAUUACAGGCAUGAGCCACCGCGCCCGGCCCUAAUACACCUUUUAACCUAAAAUUUCAGGACUUUCUUUACUUAGAAAAUUAUAUACACAUAUAUAGCUGUGAUUGUGCCACUGCAAUCCAGCCUGGGCGACAGAGUGAGCCCUUGUCUCAAAAGAAAAAAAAAGUUUGGUAUAUAAUCUUCCAAUCCCUUUCUAUGAAUUUAAAUGUUUAUUUUCUACCUAGUAAUCUUAUUUUUUUUAAUUCUUUAUUUCCUAGAUAAUGUUCAUUGAACCUUUUUGUAUUGAGAAAUUUUAAGGCACAUUUAAAAAAUAUAUUCUAACCAGGCACCGUGGCUAUCUUAGCACUUUAGGAGGCUGAGGCGGGUGAUCAGUUGAGGUCAGGAGUUCAAGACCGGCCUGAUGGUGAAAACCCUGUCUCUACAAAAAAUACAAAAAUUAGCCGGGCACAGUGGUGUGACCCUGUAAUCCCAGAUACUGGGGAGGCUGAGGCAUGAAAAUUGCUUGAACAUGGGAGACAGAGGUUGCAGUGAGCCAAGAUUGCACCACUGCACUCCAGCCUGGGCGACAGAGUGAGGCUCUGUCUCCAAAAAUAAUAAGAAGAAAGAGAGAGAGAGAGAAACAAACAAACAAACAGAGGCAAAAUUAAUAUAAGUAGCAUUUUUUGUUGUGGUUGUUGUUUUCUUCCUGAGACAGAGUUUUGCUCUUACGCCCAGGCUGAAGUGCAAUGGCCAUGAUCUCCGCUCACCACAACCUCCGCCCCCAGGGUUCAAGCGAUUCUCCUGCCUGAGCUGGAGAUUACAGGCACCCACCACCACCACGCCCAGCUAAUGUUGUAGUUUUAGUAGAGACAGGGUUUGGCUAUGUUGGACAGGCUGGUCUCGAACUCCUGACCUCAGGCGAUCCACCCACCUCGGCCUCCCAAAGUGCUAGGAUUAUAGGCCUGAGCCACUGCACCCAGCCCCGUUUUUUUUGUUUGUUUGUUUGUUUUUUUUUUUUUUUUAUUUUUAUUUUUUAUUUUUUAUUUUUUAUUUUUAUUGAUCAUUCUUGGGUGUUUCUCGCAGAGGGGGAUUUGGCAGGGUCAUAGGACAAUAGUGGAGGGAAGGUCAGCAGAUAAACAAGUGAACAAAGGUCUCUGGUUUUCCUAGGCAGAGGACCCUGCGGCCUUCCGCAGUGUUUGUGUCCCUGGGUACUUAAGAUUAGGGAGUGGUGAUGACUCUUAACGAGCAUGCUGCCUUCAAGCAUCUGUUUAACAAAGCACAUCUUGCACCGCCCUUAAUCCAUUUAACCCUGAGUGGACACAGCACAUGUUUCAGAGAGCACAGGGUUGGGGAUAAGGUCACAGAUCAACAGGAUCCCAAGGCAGAAGAAUUUUUCUUAGUACAGAACAAAAUGAAAAGUCUCCCAUGUCUACUUCUAUCCACACAGACCCCGCAACCAUCCGAUUUCUCAAUUUUUUCCCCACCCUUCCCGCCUUUCUAUUCCACAAAACCGCCAUUGUCAUCAUGGCCCAUCCCCAAUGAGCCGCUGGGCACACCUCCCAGACGGGGUCGUGGCCGGGCAGAGGGGCUCCUCACUUCCCAGUAGGGGCGGCCCGGCAGAAGUGCCCCUCACCUCCCAGAUGGGGCGGCUGGCCGGGAGGGGGGCUGACCCCCCCACCGCCCUCCCGGACGGGGCGGCUGGCCAGGCAGAGGGGCUCCUCACUUCCCAGUAGGGGCGGCCGGGCAGAGGCGCCCCUCACCUCCUGGAUAGGGCGGCUGGCCGGGCGGGGGACUGUUCCCCCCACCUCCCUCCCGGACGGGGCGGCUGGCCGGGCAGAGGGGUCCUCACUUCCCAGUAGGGGCGGCCGGGCAGAGGCGCCCCUCACCUCCCGGACGGGGCGGCUGGCCAGGCAGGGGGCUGAUCCCCCCACCUCCCUCCCGGACGGGGCGGCUGGCCGGGCGGGGGGCUGACCCCCCCCACCUCCCUCCCGGACGGGGCGGCUGGCCGGGCAGGGGGCUGACCCCCCCUCCCCCCUCCCGGACGGGGCGGCUGGCCGGGCGGGGGGCUGACCCCCCCACCUCCCUCCCGGAUGGGGCGGCUGGCCAGGCGGGGGGCUGACCCCCCCACCUCCCUCCUGGGCGGGGCGGCUGGCCGGGCAGAGGGGCUCCUCACUUCCCAGUAGGGGCGGCCGGGCAGAGGCGCCCCUCACCUCCCGGACGGGGCGGCUGGCCAGGCGGGGGGCUGACCCCCCACCUCCCUCCCGGACUGGGCGGCUGGCCGGGCGGGGGGUUGACCCCCCCACCUCCCUCCUGGACGGGGCGACUGGCCGGGCAGAGGGGCUCCUCACUUCCCAGUAGGGGCGGCCGGGCAGAGGAGCCCCUCACCUCCCGGACGGGGCGGCUGGCCGGGCGGGGGGCUGACCCCCCCCACCUCCCUCCCGGACGGGGUGGCUGCCGGGCGGAGACGCUCCUCACUUCCCAGACGGGGUGGUUGCCAGACGGAGGGGCUCCUCACUUCUCAGACGGGGCGGUUGCCAGGCAGAGGGUUUCCUCACUUCUCAGACGGAGCGGCCGGGCAGAGACACUCCUCACCUCCCAGACAGGGUUGCGGCCCAGCAGAGGCGCUCCUCACAUCCCAGACAGGGCGGUGGGGCAGAGGUGCUCCCCACAUCUCAGACGAUGGGCGGCCGGGCAGAGACGCUCCUCACUUCCUAGAUGGGAUGGCGGCGGGGAAGAGGCGCUUCUCGCUUCCUAGAUGGGAUGGCGGCCGGGCAGAGACGCUCCUCACUUUCCACACUGGGCAGCCAGGCAGAGGGGCUCCUCAUAUCCCAGACGAUGGGUGGCCAAGCAGAGACGCUCCUCACUUCCCAGACGGGGUGGCGGCCGGGCAGAGGCUGCAAUCUCGGCUCUUUGGGAGGCCAAGGCAGGCGGCUGGGAGGUGGUUGUAGCGAGCCGAGAUCACGCCACUGCACUCCAGCCUGGGCACCAUUGAGCACUGAGUGAACGAGACUCCAUCUGCAAUCCCGGCACCUCGGGAGGCCGAGGCUGGCGGAUCACUCGCGGUUAGGAGCUGGAGACCAGCCCGGCCAACACAGCGAAACCCCAUCUCCACCAAAAAAAAACGAAAACCAGUCAGGCGUGGCGGCGCGCGCCUGCAAUCGCAGGCACUCGGCAGGCUGAGGCAGGAGAAUCAGGCAGGGAGGUUGCAGUGAGCCGAGAUGGCAGCAGUACCGUCCAGCUUUGGCUCGGCAUGAGAGGGAGAGGGAGACGGGAGAGGGAGAGGGAGACGGGAGAGGGAG